CACACACACAGGAGAUUCGCGUGUACGAGUGGCCGAUUUGUAAACUUGCACUAUAACAGCAGAAUGAGAGGUGCCUCAAAAAGUUCACGCGCCGCCUACGCGUAUGUGAGGGAGAUUUUUAAAAAUCUAAAUGAGAUUGGGUUUAAUAGUUGCUGCAGCACAAUUUCACAGUCAAGUCAGUAAAAGUGUCGUAGCCUAUUAGGUGAGGAUUGCAAUCAUAUUUUUCAUCGGCAAUAAAACGAUCUAAUCCUUCCAUUUAAUUUGCAAACAAAAUAUAGAAAGAAAUGCAUAAAAAAGAGAGAUCUCCAUAUAAAAUUGUAAAAAUAGACUUUGUUGAUCCUUAUGCCAGGAGGAUAAUCUUAGUACAAGCACAGCAAAAUCAGGCUUGACUGAUUAUUGGGAUUAUACCCUGAAACAUCAAUCACUAAUGAUUCAUAUAAACAGUGGGGCUUAAAAUUACAUAAAGUUAAUAAGUUUUUUUUCUUGAAUAAAUCUGGCUUUUUUUUAAACUCCCUGCUGAUUGUGUUCUCACUCCUGCGCAACAUUUAAGAAAAAUAAGGAGUUUCACUUGUUCAAACAGUCUUAAGUGUGCAGGGCAGAUCAGCUCUUUGCUCUGUUUCAAAGUUUGCUAAAAAUGUGGGUAUUUUCUGUGACCUCUUUACUGGGACAAAGGAGGCUGCGGAUCGAUUCGUUACACCUUUUUAGUGAGGCUUCUGGUGAAGGGGAGGGGCUCUGAAUCCACAAGAGGCUCCAUUAAUAGCAUACACUCCGUCCUAACUAUUAUCCAACAUAAAGUGUUUAUAAAGGGCACACAACUAGGCUAAUGUUUUCUGAAGUGAGACCGCAUAAUACACCCGUUUACUGCAGCAUCUUCAGGAGAGGAUAGUGAAGGAGAGAGUGGGGGGAAAAGGUCUGAAGUUUGUUUUUACUACUUGGUGAUAGAGUGUGCGGUGAUAAUCACAACAGAACUUGGAUGACAUGAGAACUGGCUCACUUCAGACUGCGCUCUUCUUCCUUCUGCGGCCAGCCAGGACUUUAGGACAAUAUCCACCCAGCUCUACACCGGCUCCAGCUCUGGCUACGACCGGAUCAUUUACAAGGAACUGGAUUACAAACUUUCUGCAAACCGUCCAGUCAGUCCUGGUUUAACGGAUUCUGGUCUGACAUGACCAUCUAAAGUGAAGCUGUUUAAACUAUCCACUGGAUCGUACUGCAGGGUGUCAAAUCAGACAUGAUGGAAAAUACAGCUGAGGUCACACUAAGAAUAGCCGAUUCCCUGACCUCAGCUUCUCCAGCGAUGUCUGCAACAUUAUAAGGUGAAAUAUCCACUAUUACAUGCUAACGACAAGAGACGAGUCUACAGAGGCAACGGCACACAGGACAACUGGCUCAGGGAAAGGCAUCUGGAUCGCAGCGGCUGUUGUCACAUACAAGCCACUUACAAUCAUCCUGGAGAAGAAAACGUUGCUUUGUUUUUGUGAUAAAAAAUGCAGCGCGUGUGAGUUAAUAAAUACACUGUGUAUGUAAAAUGUUAACAAUGUGCAGCCAUAAAAUCAGCUGAAUAUAAA